GGGAGGAUGGAGAGUGGUUUGGGGUUUGGGGUCGGGGUCUAACGUGAUCAGUUGCAGAAGCAUUACACGGUGGCCUGGUUUCUUUACUCAGCCCCUGGGGUAGAUCCCAGCCCCCCACGUAGGUCCCUUGGCUGGAAAAGGAAGAGGGAGUGUUUGGAUGAAUCUGACGAUGAGCCAGAGCAGGAGCUCGCCCCUGAGCCUGAGGAGACCUGGGUGGCGGAGACGCUGUGUGGCCUCAAGAUGAAGGCGAAGCGACGGCGAGUGUCGCUCGUGCUCCCUGAGUACUACGAGGCCUUCAACAGGCUGCUUGAGGAUCCUGUCAUUAAAAGAUUCCUGGCCUGGGACAAAGAUCUGAGGGUGUCGGACAAGUAUCUCCUGGCUAUGGUCAUAGCGUAUUUCAGCCGGGCCGGCCUCCCCUCCUGGCAAUACCAACGCAUUCAUUUCUUCCUGGCUCU
rnacentral:sRNA from 1 species